GCUGGCGGCGUGCCUAAUACAUGCAAGUCGUACGCUUCUUUUUCCACCGGAGCUUGCUCCACCGGAAAAAGAAGAGUGGCGAACGGGUGAGUAACACGUGGGUAACCUGCCCAUCAGAAGGGGAUAACACUUGGAAACAGGUGCUAAUACCGUAUAACAAUCGAAACCGCAUGGUUUUGAUUUGAAAGGCGCUUUCGGGUGUCGCUGAUGGAUGGACCCGCGGUGCAUUAGCUAGUUGGUGAGGUAACGGCUCACCAAGGCCACGAUGCAUAGCCGACCUGAGAGGGUGAUCGGCCACAUUGGGACUGAGACACGGCCCAAACUCCUACGGGAGGCAGCAGUAGGGAAUCUUCGGCAAUGGACGAAAGUCUGACCGAGCAACGCCGCGUGAGUGAAGAAGGUUUUCGGAUCGUAAAACUCUGUUGUUAGAGAAGAACAAGGAUGAGAGUAACUGUUCAUCCCUUGACGGUAUCUAACCAGAAAGCCACGGCUAACUACGUGCCAGCAGCCGCGGUAAUACGUAGGUGGCAAGCGUUGUCCGGAUUUAUUGGGCGUAAAGCGAGCGCAGGCGGUUUCUUAAGUCUGAUGUGAAAGCCCCCGGCUCAACCGGGGAGGGUCAUUGGAAACUGGGAGACUUGAGUGCAGAAGAGGAGAGUGGAAUUCCAUGUGUAGCGGUGAAAUGCGUAGAUAUAUGGAGGAACACCAGUGGCGAAGGCGGCUCUCUGGUCUGUAACUGACGCUGAGGCUCGAAAGCGUGGGGAGCAAACAGGAUUAGAUACCCUGGUAGUCC
rnacentral:rRNA from 1 species